rnacentral:tRNA from 1 species
GCCGGCCUAGAUCAAUUGGUAGAGCAACUGACUUGUAAUCAGUAGGUUGGGGGUUCAAGUCCUCUGGCCGGCACCA